rnacentral:rRNA from 1 species
GCUGUUAAGGGUUCGUAGUUGAACUGUGGAUUGUGAAUCCGGGGCAACGUCCUUGACCCCGGUCUGGGAACACCUCGCUCACUUUCCGAGAACGCUGAAACUAAGAUCACGGGAGCGUUUCCCUCAACUUCGCGAGCAAUGCACGCAGGUGGGCGUCCGUGUUCAUUACUGUGACUAAGAAGUGCGACCAAAGCAGUCUAUCGACAUGAAUUAGAAAGCAUGGGAUAACAAAGCAGCGCCUGCGAACUACCGUUUAGGCUUUUGUUGGUUUUAAAAGUUCAUAGGAGAUUACGGGCGGCCGGAACGGCGUUGUGGAGCCACAAGCUCCCGCGUCUCUUCCCUUGUGCGGGAAACCGUCUGCGGAAGCCUGCUCGUUCAGGAAUGAAGGAGGGUUGCUCGGGGGAGAACGUACUUGCCGUGAGAGGUGAAAUUCUUAGACCGGUCAAAGACGAACUACAGCGAAGGCAUUCUCCAGGAUACCUUCCUCAAUCAAGAACCAAAGUGUGGGGAUCGAAGAUGAUUAGAUACCAUUGUGUCC